rnacentral:rRNA from 1 species
GACGAACGCUGGCGGCGUGCUUAACACAUGCAAGUCGAACGGAAAGGCCCUGCGUUUGUUGGGUGCUCGAGUGGCGAACGGGUGAGUAACACGUGAGUAACCUGCCCUUGACUUUGGGAUAACUUCAGGAAACUGGGGCUAAUACCGGAUAGGAGCUCCUGCUGCAUGGUGUGGGUUGGAAAGUUUCGGCGGUUGGGGAUGGACUCGCGGCUUAUCAGCUUGUUGGUGGGGUAGUGGCUUACCAAGGCUUUGACGGGUAGCCCGCCUGAGAGGGUGAACGGCCACCUUGGGACUGAGGUAGGGACCAGACUCCUACGGGAGGCAGCAGUGGGGAAUAUUGCACAAUGGGCGGAAGCCUGAUGCAGCAACGCCGCGUGCGGGAUGACGGCCUUCGGGUUGUAAACCGCUUUCGCAUGUGACGAAGCGUGAGUGACGGUAAUGGGUAAAGAAGCACCGGCUAACUACGUG